AUGGCGGCCGAGGACCAGAUCCCGCGAGCGCAAGCCAACCCCGAGAAGACCAAGAAGCGGAAGAAGCCCAAGAAGGACAAGUGGGGGCAGCCCAUCGCCGCCGCGGCCGACGAGCCGGCCGUCGAGCAGGUGCAGGAGCAAGAGGCACCUGAGGAGCCUGUCGCAGCGGCGGCGGCGGCGGCGGAGGGUGGGGAGGGCGCGGAGAGCUAUGAGCGCGGCAAGGUGGUGGCGAGCGGCAUGCCGUACACGACCACCGAGGAAGAGAUCCGGGAGCUGUUCGACCAGUUCGGCCCCAUCCGCUCCCUCCAGCUCUCCCGCUUCCCGGACUCCGGCAACUUCCGCGGCCUCGCCUUCGUCACCUUCGAGUCAGAUGAAGUUGCCAUGAAAUCUCUGGAGCUUGAUGGAUCCAAAAUCGGUAACAGGUUUAUGAGGGUCGAAAGAUGCAGGGUAACUGCUAGCUCGAAGAGGCAAAAGAAGACAGAGUUCCAAUCCGAUCCUGAGAAGCCUGAUGGCUGCCUCUCAGCUUAUGUCGGCAAUCUCUCAUGGAACAUCACCGAGAAGGACUUGAGGGAUUUCUUCAAAUCAUCAAGGAUUGCAUCAAUAAGAUUUGCCAUCGACAAUCGAACCGGAGAUUCUCGUGGUUUCUGCCAUGUUGAUUUCGAGGACGAUGAAUCGCUCGAGAAAGCUGUUGGGAUGAAUCAAUCUGAACUGCGGGGAAGACCUGUGAAGAUAGCGUAUGCUAUCAUCAACAGGGCUUGA
rnacentral:rRNA from 1 species